AGUCGUAACAAGGUUUCCGUAGGUGAACCUGCGGAAGGAUCAUUGUCGAACCCUGCAAGGCAGAACGACCUGUGAACACGUAAAUACAACUGGGUGAUGGGGAGAUGGAUCUUGGUUCUGAUCCUCAACACCUCCUAGCGUGCCUGCAUGCUUUCUCUUUUGGGCUAUCAUGCAUGUAUUGUUGGAAUUUAACAAAACCCCGGCACGGCAUGUGCCAAGGAAAACAAUAAACAAGAAGGACUCGACCUGUUAUGCCCCGUUUGUGGUGUGCAUUCUGAGCGUGUCCUCCUUUGAAUCACAAACGACUCUCGGCAACGGAUAUCUCGGCUCAC
rnacentral:misc_RNA from 1 species